UUCCAGCCGCGUUGUCUUUGUAAACCAACACCACCUAUAUACAAGGCCUCUCCACUGAAGUCAUGACGUCAUCACUAGUAGGCCAUUUGUCGUUCAGUCUUGUAAUGUAAAACGCGAAUUUUUGAACAGUGUAGUGCGUUUUAGUAAUAAUUUUUUGUUGUGGAUAGUUGCUGAAUGCCUGUAUUAUUGAGCAAUGCCUUUCAAAUGUUGUGUGCCAAAUUGUAAUGGCAAUUACAAAAAUGGGCCAAAGGUUGCAACGUUUUCUUUUCCAAAAAAUGAAGAAAUAAAAAAAAAAUGGUUACGUGCUAUUUGUCGACAGAAUUUUUGUCCUACAAAUAGUUCUAAAGUAUGCGAAUUACAUUUUCACUCUUACGAUAUUGAACGAGAAACGAGCCAUUAUAAUGAAGCUAAUGGGAAAUUGUUAACUGCUCCAUUGCGACAUCCACGUUUAAUUAAAAACGCUGUUCCAAGUCAGUUGCUAUACAAUCCUCAAUACUUAACAGAAA